ACUACUUGGGGAACUCAGGUCACAGAAGCAGUGGGUUAGAAGCCCUCGGGGUACCUAAGGAGUGCUGUCCUGGAGCCUGCUAGCCAAGCUGUUGAGAUGGAAGCCUCAGAGAGGCAAGGGAGUGAAACAGACGAGCCAUUCCAGAAGGUGGGGAGUGUUCCCUGCUUAGAGAAGAGCUCCAGAACAAUCCCCACCGGAGAUGCUCUGGUCCGCCAUGCCAAGGGCCUGAGCCAGGACACCUUCAAAAUUUGUAAAGAAUACCUGAGGCCUCAGAAGAAGUUCCUGCGGAAGCUGAACUUGCCCAAGGGCCUUUCCCAGAAGAGGCGGAUCAAGUACACAAAGCAGAGCCUUGAGGCCCUGGGGGACCACAUCAACACCUUCCUGCAGCAUUACUGCCGGGCCUGGGAGAUCAAGCACUGGAAGAAGAUGCUCUGGCGGUUUGUCUCCCUCUUCUCAGACCUGGAGUCAAAGCAGCUUCGCCGUCUCUAUAAGUACACCAAAACCAAUCAGACAGUCAAGUUCCUGGUCGCCUUCUGUCCCUUGGAUACACCAGAGAGAUACUUGCUGGCCAACCAGGAGGACAGUCUUCCCAGACUCUGCAGCGCCUGGGGGUUGCAUGGAAAUAUCAGCGGUAUGAAGGAGAGGUUGUCCAAGAUGCAGGCCCCUGGCCAGGAGGCUGGCAUGCUGGUGGAGCCAAGGUCCACAUACUGCUUCGGAGGAGAUUCCUUAAGGAAACUUCCUCCAAAACCAAAACUGAAGAAAAAGCAGAUUAAAGAAAGCUCAGAAACUCCCAAGAGCUACUGCUACCUAUGAGAAGACCCACAGGCAUGGAGGCCAGCUCUCCCUGGUUCUCUGAGCACUUGCAUGUACUCUCUAGGGGGAGAGGGGAUUGAAUAGGCUGUCUCCAUUUGGAUAUGUAUUCCUAUAUAACAGCCGGUGGAACUGAGGGGCGAUUGCCUCAACUCGCUGGUGUGUUUCCUAGCCCAGCAGUCUCCUCCCAUGCCUAGUACCUUGUACAACGGGCGUCUCACAUCUACACCACCCGUGCAACUCUUGGGACCUUUAGUAUUUGACAUCCCCAAAGCCUGCAGAAGCAA